rnacentral:rRNA from 1 species
GACGAACGCUGGCGGCGUGCUUAACACAUGCAAGUCGUACGGUAAGGCCCUUUCGGGGGUACACGAGUGGCGAACGGGUGAGUAACACGUGAGUAACCUGCCCACAACUUUGGGAUAACGCUAGGAAACUGGUGCUAAUACUGGAUAUGUGCUCCUGCUGCAUGGUGGGGGUUGGAAAGCUCCGGCGGUUGUGGAUGGACUCGCGGCCUAUCAGCUUGUUGGUGGGGUAGUGGCCUACCAAGGCGGCGACGGGUAGCCGGCCUGAGAGGGUGACCGGCCACAUUGGGACUGAGAUACGGCCCAGACGCCUACGGGAGGCAGCAGUGGGGAAUAUUGCACCAGGGGUGCAAGCCUGAUGCAGCAACGCCGCGUGCGGGAUGACGGCCUUCGGGUUGUAAACCGCUUUCAGCAGGGACGAAGCUUUUUGUGACGGUACCUGCAGAAGAAGCACCGGCUAACUACGUG